UGAGCAAGGAGGUAGCAUCACAGAACUAACCCAAAUCUAGUAGGAAUUCACUAAUUUCUUUAAACAACUCUUAGGAACUGCAGUAAGUGAAUUGCCUUGAAUCAAUAUUGGCAUAGCAAGAGAUGGUCCUUUCCUGAACAUUGAGUAAUAGAAAUAAUUAAUGCAAGAAGUGAUAGAGUAGGAGAUCUUGUAGACAGUUCAACACCUUUUUUACGACGAGGUGCCAGGUAUUGAUGGAU
rnacentral:lncRNA from 1 species